UACGUAGGGUGCGAGCGUUAAUCGGAAUUACUGGGCGUAAAGCGUGCGCAGGCGGUUCGUUGUGUCGGCGGUGAAAGCCCCGGGCUUAACCUGGGAACGGCCGUUGAAACUGGCGAACUGGAGUGUGGCAGAGGGGGGUGGAAUUCCGCGUGUAGCAGUGAAAUGCGUAGAGAUGUGGAGGAACACCGAUGGCGAAGGCAGCCCCCUGGGUUAACACUGACGCUCAGGCACGAAAGCGUGGGGAGCAAACAGG
rnacentral:rRNA from 1 species